UAGGCACUCGGUGUGUGUGAACUAUCAAGAUAAAUAAGAUUUUUAGGGGCCAGUUUGGAUGGUUGAGCUCAAAAUCUUAUAGGAUUCAUGAGUUAGACCAGUGUAACCAUAAGAAAAUAUUGAAUUAGAGGCUGGACUAUGCCUAUGUCUAUAGCCAUCCACAGCUAUCAGCCCACUCCAAAAACUCCAUAUAUUGAGAAUAUUAACCUAACCCAGACUACUUUUUUCUAGUUGCACUAAUCCAAAGUCAUGAAUCUCAUAAAAUUUUGGGUUUAGACAUCCAAAUAAGCCCUAGAAGGCCUCAACUUAUCCAACCCA
rnacentral:lncRNA from 1 species